CAAUAGCGUAUAUUAAAGUUGUUGCAGUUAAAAAGCUCGUAGUUGGAUUUCUGGAUCGAACGCUUCGUCCGCCGCUGUGCGGUGUGUACUGAGGUUUUGUUUCGAUUCAUCCUUGCAGGGAAGCGAGUUCGAGAUUAAUUUGUCGGCUCGGGGAACUGCAUCUUUUACUGUGAAAAAAUUAGAGUGUUUAAAGCAGGCAUUUUGCUGUGAAUACAUUAGCAUGGAAUAAUAACAUAGGACUUUGGUUCUAUUUUGUUGGUUGGAGGCCAAGGUAAUGAUUAAUAGGGACAGUUGGGGGUAUUCAUAUUUAAUUGUCAGAGGUGAAAUUCUUGGAUUUAUGAAAGAUGAACUCAUGCGAAAGCAUUUACCAAGGAUGUUUUCAUUAA
rnacentral:rRNA from 1 species